rnacentral:lncRNA from 1 species
GAAAAUCCCUAUAGACAAUCCUAAGUUACAAAGCUGCCCCCGAAUGGAUGUCUUAUGAUCCAAAAAUUUCAAUUUUAGUAACUCUGGAAAUAUAAUCUCCAAAAAUACUUAAUGCAUAACUACACAUACAGGUGGAUAUAUAGCUAUUUUAAACUAAUAAUAUAUUAGUUUUCCAAGAGAGACUACUUGGUUUGAUUGGACCAUUUUCCCUAGUUACAAUAUAGAAUGUCUAUUCUGAGGCUAUUGCUCCUAUCCUUUUUAUAUCUAAGCCAGAGGCUUUUACCUGAGCUGCACAUGAGGAGGGUAUAGCAGGCUUAUGUGGGUCAGGACUCUAUAACCAGAGACUCCAGAAUCAGGAAAGCCUUUUUUAAAAAAUCAUUUCUCAUGUCUUCAAGAAAAGACAUUUCCUGGUUGAGAUGGAUACUCAGCCCAGAUCAAUGGGGGAUGAGAAACAGAUUCUACUUCUUGUUUGAUGAAAUAACAAAGAAUAUCCAUCCCGGUUUAAACGUCUACAGCCUCGGGAACCACUUUGGAGCUUGUUAUGGUCUCCAUGAUGUUGAUACAGCCUUCUGUAACAGAGAAGUGGAGAAGCAAGGACAACAGGGCCGUGAUCUGCAUGGUGAGCCUUGCUCCGAUGGACAACGGGGCCGUGUUCUGCAUGGUGAGCCUUGCUCCGAUGGAUGCCUAUUCCAUCAGAAACGGUUGAAGAAUCGGCAGAUGAGAUGCCUGGGUAGCCAUCAACAGUUGAUAAUACCUAAGAAAAAUAAGCAGCAGAAAAGUGACUGAUACAGCUCUCACACUACUGGACAAGAAGAUGGAACUUCGGUGGUGUAACACUUGAUCCCAAG